CGUUGUUGCUGACAACGGGAAAAAGUAUGCGGGGGUAUUAAGCGCUGGUCACGAAAUAGGACAUUUGUUAGGUUCGCCUCACGACGGGAGUCGGACUUCAACAGGAUGCUCACCUACAGCCGGAUACCUAAUGAGUCCAUCUGCUCAAGGAGAAAUCCGACCACGAUUCUCAAAUUGUAGCAUGGAAGCUAUCUCCGACUUUGUGACGCGCUACGCUAAGUGCCUCUUCGAUGAAAAUGACCCCAUAGCCACUAAGACCACUGCCGAAGUUGCCACCACUACGGAUGUUUCCGGAACCGAGCACGAUACAAUAUUUCAACGGAAGUCAUAUGGGAAAUGUAAAAGGUUCCUACUGAA